rfam:Larimichthys crocea isolate SSNF unplaced genomic scaffold scaffold181, whole genome shotgun sequence.
CUUUGCGUUCAGCCUCUUUACGGUGCUGCCUUGUGGCGUCUUGAUCAAGCAGCAUUGUACAGGGCUAUGAAGGCGGAG